UGCCAGCCGCCGCGGUAAUACGAAGGGUGCAAGCGUUGUUCGGAUUUAUUGGGCGUAAAGCGCGCGCAGGCGGAUAAAUAAGCCAGAUGUGAAAUCUCGGGGCUCAACCCCGAAACUGCGUCUGGAACUGUUUAUCUAGAAUUGUGGAGAGGAAAGCGGAAUUUCGCAUGUAGGGGUAAAAUCCGUAGAGAUGCGAAGGAACACCAGAGCCGAAGGGGGCUUUCUGGCCACACAUUGACGCUGAGGCGCGAAAGCGUGGGGAGCAAACAGGAUUAGAUA
rnacentral:rRNA from 1 species